CAUAAACAUAUGUAAUCCUCCAAUUCAAAUAAACAUCCCCUUCAUUAAUUAUUACAAUCAAUCACACAAUCCUCUCAAUAAUUUUGUAGGACUGACUAACUAACCGACUCUUUAUAACUAAACCUCUUUACAAGUGAAAGACGUGCACUCUACAACCUAGCUGAAAUUUACAAGGAAAAAAAAAAAAAAAAAUGGAAGAGAGAAGAAGAGUAAGUUCGGUUAUGAUUCUUUGCAUGGUAAUGGUGGUGAUGUUUGUGGGGCAGUCCACAGCUUCUUCCAAGAAGUGCUAUGAGAAAUGUCUGAUCGACUGCAUCAAAUCCAGAAUUUUCCCAAUUUCAUGUCCCUUUGAGUGCUUGAAAGACUGCAGUAAGAAGACUAUUUCUGAGGGUGGCAACGAAGAUGACAAACACUAUUUCUGCAUGCUUGGCUGUGCUUCUACUUUGUGCACAAAUUUCAGCAGCAAAUACAAGUUUGUGUCAGAUGAUGAAGAGAAGGUAAAAAGUUUUGUGGAAUCUUGCACAGAUGCCUGCCUGCUCCAGCAAUUGAUCACUGCUUAAAUAAGAUUUUCUGUUAUGUUCUGAAGUUGUAAAUUAUUGUAGAGAUGAAUAAAGUCUUAUGAAUACCUGGGACAGUCUACCAAAUAUCACAUGAAGACCAAUCUCGACUCUAAAAUUGGCAGCAAGAGAAACUGGUUUGUUUUUCUAGUUCGUAUCUUCCAAUUUUGAGUUCACCCACAAAAACGAGGUUUAUUUAUUUAUUUAUUUAUUUAUUAUUAUAUUGGAGAACGGGGGAAUUGGCCAUAGAGCUUGAGAUAAAAAGACUACAAUAUAAGGUUUGCUACAUGAUUCUAUUUUAGAGAAAUACCCAGUUGAAGACUAACAUGUAUUUGUGAGUGAAUUAUAUUCCCUAUCUUCAUUAUUUUACCGCUAUUAUUAAAAAAAAAAACAUGAAAAUUUUAGAAUUACAUUGGAAAUUAUAUAUUUAUUAUUAAAUAGAUACGACAAUAAAUAUCCAAUUAGAUAGAAGACGUGCAAGUCUUUCUAUAUAAUUUUAAUCUCAACCAAACUAUUAUUUU